rnacentral:rRNA from 1 species
GACGAACGCUGGCGGCGUGCUUAACACAUGCAAGUCGAACGGAAAGGCCCUGCUUUUGUGGGGUGCUCGAGUGGCGAACGGGUGAGUAACACGUGAGUAACCUGUCCUUGACUUUGGGAUAACUUCAGGAAACUGGGGCUAAUACCGGAUAGGAGCUCCUGCUGCAUGGUGGGGGUUGGAUAGUUUCGGCGGUUGGGGAUGGACUCGCGGCUUAUCAGCUUGUUGGUUGGGUAGUGGCUUACCAAGGCUUUGACGGGUAGCCGGGCUGAGAGGGUGAGCGGCCACGUUAGGCCUGGGAUGCGACCCAGACUCGUACGGGAGGCAGCGGAGGAGAGUGGUACACAGUGGGCGGGAGCCUGAUGUGGCAACGCAGCGUGGGGGGUGACGGGCUUCGGGUAGUGAACCGCUUUCGCCUGUGACGAGGCGUGAGUGACGGUAAUGGGUAAAGAAGCACCGGCUAACUACGUG